rnacentral:rRNA from 1 species
CCAGACUCCUACGGGAGGCAGCAGUGGGGAAUAUUGCACAAUGGGCGCAAGCCUGAUGCAGCCAUGCCGCGUGUAUGAAGAAGGCCUUCGGGUUGUAAAGUACUUUCAGCGAGGAGGAAGGCGUUAAGGUUAAUAACCUUGGCGAUUGACGUUACUCGCAGAAGAAGCACCGGCUAACUCCGUGCCAGCAGCCGCGGUAAUACGGAGGAUCCGAGCGUUAUCCGGAUUUAUUGGGUUUAAAGGGUGCGUAGGCGGCCUAUUAAGUCAGGGGUGAAAUACGGUGGCUCAACCAUCGCAGUGCCUUUGAUACUGAUGGGCUUGAAUCCAUUUGAAGUGGGCGGAAUAAGACAAGUAGCGGUGAAAUGCAUAGAUAUGUCUUAGAACUCCGAUUGCGAAGGCAGCUCACUAAGCUGGUAUUGACGCUGAUGCACGAAAGCGUGGGGAUCGAACAGGAUUAGAUACCCUGGUAGUCCACGCCCUAAACGAUGUCAACUGGUUGUUGGGAAUUAGUUUUCUCAGUAACGAAGCUAACGCGUGAAGUUGACCGCCUGGGGAGUACGGCCGCAAGGUUAAAACUCAAAUGAAUUGACGGGGGCCCGCACAAGCGGUGGAGCAUGUGGUUUAAUUCGA